CAGUCGCCGCGGUAAUACAGAGGGUGCGAGCGUUAAUCGGAUUUACUGGGCGUAAAGCGUGCGUAGGCGGCUAAUUGAGUUGGAUGUGAAAUCCCCGAGCUUAACUUGGGAAUUGCAUUCGAUACUGGUUAGCUAGAGUGUGGGAGAGGAUGGUAGAAUUCCAGGUGUAGCGGUGAAAUGCGUAGAGAUCUGGAGGAAUACCGAUGGCGAAGGCAGCCAUCUGGCCUAACACUGACGCUGAGGUACGAAAGCAUGGGGAGCAAACAGGAUUAGAUACCCGUGUAGUCCCUGUCUCUUAUAC
rnacentral:rRNA from 1 species